rnacentral:lncRNA from 1 species
UUUUUUUUUUUUUUUUUGGCACAGGUGGACCAACGGGGGGUGUGACUGUGGGCACCGUGCGCAGAGGCGGAGGCUCAUCUGGUUCCCACCCUCCGUGCCGCUGGAUGCCCCAGGAUUUUCUCCAACCGGGGUCCCGGCUUGGAGCCCUCCUUGGCUGCGAGCUUUGGCUCAGCAAUGGGGAAAGCGGGAAUGGGUCUCGCCCUUGUGGCUGCCUGGUGGAAGCGGCGGUUUUGACACACGAAUAGUCGUGGGGAGCAGAUCCAGAGAGGGUGCAUUUGCAAUAAUAACGCUUAGUUUAUCUCUGCCAGAGGGGCGGGAACAGGCCUUCGCGCUGGUGUCUUACAUCAGCCAAGCAAACCAUGGGCGCGAUUGGAGCCAACCACCUCCAGCGGGGUUUUGCUCCAGACUUAAGGUGCACGGAAACCGGAGCAUUCAGCCCUUCAUGGGUGCCUCCCGAAAACCUCACCAUGCCAGUGACACGACUGCAAACGGCGGGUGGCACAUGCCGGGGGCUUGGGAUGGGAGGGUUUGGAAACCUCGCUCCAAGGACGCCCUCACCCAAGGAGCUUCGGCUCCUUCCUAAAAUUUCUAGAAGCACUUUUGGAGGGACCGAGGGCUUCCGGCCGGGCCCAGAGGAAUUUGAGCGCUUGCCCGGGCAGGCAGAAGCGCAGCCUGGGAGUGGAGAGGCUGCUGGGCCACAUUCCGGCCCAGCUUCCCCCGCUAGGCCCCAGCCCUGCCGCGGCGCCCCAGGAAGCACCUCCGAAAACAAAGCGCUGUGGUUUCAGCCCAAGGUUAAAGUCCACCGCGAGCGUGUUUUUCCCCCCUCCAGAAUCUAAGAGCGAUAGCGUUUCUCCAAAUAAACCGCCAAUAAAUCAGCUCCCGGGGGCGCCUGCUGAAGAGCUCUGGUGACCUUGGGGGAUGGUUUUUCUGCCUGA